rnacentral:rRNA from 1 species
AUUGAACGCUGGCGGCAUGCCUUACACAUGCAAGUCGAACGGCAGCGCGGGGCAACCUGGCGGCGAGUGGCGAACGGGUGAGUAAUAUAUCGGAACAUACCCUAGAGUGGGGGAUAACGUAGCGAAAGUUACGCUAAUACCGCAUACGCACUAAGGUGGAAAGUGGGGGAUUCGCAAGAACCUCAUGCUCAUGGAGUGGCUGAUAUCUGAUUAGCUAGUUGGUGAGGUAAAGGCUCACCAAGGCAACGAUCAGUAGCUGGUUUGAGAGAACGACCAGCCACACUGGAACUGAGACACGGUCCAGACUCCUACGGGAGGCAGCAGUGGGAAUUUUGGACAAUGGGGGCAACCCUGAUCCAGCAAUGCCGCGUGAGUGAAGAAGGCCUUCGGGUUGUAAAUUACUUUGCUAGGGGAAGAUAAUGACGGUACCCUGCGAAUAAGCUCGGCUAACUCGUGCCAGCAGCGCGGUAA